AAUUCAGGUAAAUAAAAGAAAUUGUACCUGUUGCACAUCGAUAUUAUUGGCCUUGAUUCUUAAAGGUGGCUUGGCUAAACUUUCGACGGAAACUUUUUGAAGUUUUUGUGGGCACUGAUUUGCAGAGUGCUCGUGACCAACAGAUAAAAUGGCCCAAUUGCAAAUUUGCAAGCUGUCUUCCAAAACCAAGGAAUUUCUAUUUGCAAGACCCAUUCCAAUCCCCAGCAACGUAAACCUGCAGAAGGAAAGGC